ensembl:rRNA 5S_rRNA 5S ribosomal RNA
GUCUAUGGCCACACCACCCUGAACAUGCCUGAUCUCAUCUGAUCUCAGAAGCUAAGCAGAGUCGGGCCCAGUUAGUACUUAAAUGGGAGACCACCUGGGAAUACCGGGUGCUGUAGGCU